rnacentral:rRNA from 1 species
GACGAACGCUGGCGGCGUGCUUAACACAUGCAAGUCGAACGGAAAGGCCCUGCUUUUGUGGGGUGCUCGAGUGGCGAACGGGUGAGUAACACGUGAGUAACCUGCCCUUGACUUUGGGAUAACUUCAGGAAACUGGGGCUAAUACCGGAUAGGAGCUCCUGCUGCAUGGUGGGGGUUGGAAAGUUUCGGCGGUUGGGGAUUGACUCGCGGCUUAUCAGCUUGUUGGUGGGGUAGUGGCUUACCAAGGCUUUGACGGGUAGCCGGCCUGAGAGGGUGACCGGCCACAUUAGGACUGAGAUACGGCACAGACUCCUACGGGACGCAGCAGUGGGGAAUAUUGCACAAUGGGCGGAAGCCUGAUGCAGCAACGCCGCGUGCGGGAUGACGGCCUUCGGGUUGUAAACCGCUUUCGCCUGUGACGAAGCGUGAGUGACGGUAAUGGGUAAAGAAGCACCGGCUAACUACGUG